GGGGGGAUGGAUGGACAGAUGGACAGAUGGAAGGAACAGUAAGGUUUUUGGCUCUUAAUAUAAUCUGAAUAAAAACAGUAAUGUCCUUCCUCUUAAUAUCACCCCCAGGAUAUUCUAUUAGUAUGCUCCUGACAGUGCUUCUCAGGGAAGCACAAUUCUGCUGCUGUACCUCCUGGGAAGCAUGUCCUGAGGCCCACCUUACAAGUGAUGCCCCUGCCUCUGCCCUGGCCACCCCAUCAUGGCUCCAUUGAUAUCUGUGUUCCCUCAGUCCAGAACUUUCACCCAAACUCAUAAGAGAAGUGAAUAGAUGGCUGGUUGAAGCACAUGGAAGUCCAUAUACAUCCAAGAAGAGGCUUCUACAAAUUUCACAUGGAUUCUCAGAACCAAAACUACAUUGCCAGAAAAGAUCCACCUUCAUUCUGUCAUGCACAACAGUGUUUACUUGUUCCUUACAAGAAAACAAGGGCAAGCUGUAGACUACAUUUUCAAUGGAUACCUCUCUCCACUGCUGGCUUGGUGUGCUGUUUCAUCCCAGGGACAUUAGAAUCCCUAUUAAAUGGAAACAUCCCUCCCCCUUUUAUUGCUUAAUAACCAAGAAUAAGCUCUCUAUCCAUGAACCUGCUGUCAUCAUCUAGUUAGAUGAAUUCACUAAGAG
rnacentral:lncRNA from 12 species